rnacentral:rRNA from 1 species
GACGAAGGUGGCAAGCGUUGCUCGGAAUCACUGGGCAUAAAGCGCGCGUAGGUGGCUUGAUAAGUCGGUGGUGAAAUCCCAUGGCUCAACCAUGGAACUGCCGUCGAUACUGUCAGGCUUGAGGGCGGUAGGGGAGAGUGGAACUCCUGGUGUAGCGGUGAAAUGCGUAGAUAUCAGGAGGAACGCCGGUGGCGAAAGCGACUCUCUGGGCCGUUCCUGACACUAAAGCGCGAAAGCUAGGGGAGCAAACAGG